UACGUAGGGUCCAAGCGUUGUCCGGAUUUAUUGGGCGUAAAGAGCUCGUAGGCGGCUCGGUAAGUCGGAUGUGAAACCUCCAGGCUCAACCUGGAGUCGCCAUCCGAUACUGCUGUGGCUUGAGUCCGGUAGGGGAGCAUGGAAUUCCUGGUGUAGCGGUGAAAUGCGCAGAUAUCAGGAGGAACACCAGUGGCGAAGGCGGUGCUCUGGGCCGGAACUGACGCUGAGGAGCGAAAGCAUGGGGAGCGAACAGG
rnacentral:rRNA from 1 species